AGCUUUGGGCAGUGGCAGUAUCGUAGCCAAUGAGGUUAUCUGAGGCACAAUUAUUGCUAAUUGACAAUGAGUAAAUAAAU
rnacentral:snRNA from 1 species